AAAAUUUAAAAAUUAUAUCAGACUUAACAACAAUUUCCUCUAAAAAUAGAACGAAGAAGAAUAACUAUAAUUGGUAAUACCAAGGAAAAAGACUGUGAUUGUUGGCUUACAUAGAAUUAAGUUUAUACAAAUAACAAUAAACAAUUCAGUACAAAAUGACAAAUUUUAUAAUCAAAACAUCCGUGUGGUAUAACAAUAAUAAAAAUAACAAUAAUGAAUAUAAUGUGCUAAUAAUUUACAUAAAUGUAACAGUAACUGCCAAACUCACCAAUCAGAAUUUUGUGUACAAUUAUUAUAUGCCAAUGUUCAUAGGUACAUAUUUUAAUCUAAUGAUUCGCAAUUGAAAGUAUCAAACAUAAUCCGUUUAUUUAAAUAAAAAUUUUAAAUAAAAUAAUAGAAAACGUCAUCCGUGUGACUUACAACAAAAAAAAAACCAACUGUCUGGUAAACAAGGAGAAACAUGAUACUAAAUCUUAUUACUAAACAAAAAUACAUAUCACACAGUUAUCGGUCGGCAUUGAUAACCGACCGAUGCAACCAAGCAACCAGGAGAGAAAGGAUAGAUGAGUAGACGGAAACAAUAAGCGCUAUCUACGAUUUGCAUGCGGUGCGAACAAUAAUGUUGAGAGAUUCGAUAUUGAUGUUGUUGAUAAUUUAUCUGAAUCAUUACAAGCAGGGGAAGUUCCAUACAGAGAAGCAGUAGAAAGUUUGUUAUAUCUAAGUCAGAUCACAAGGCCUGAUAUAACAUUUGCUGUAAAUCUUAUCAGUCGCUUUUUAGAAAAGCCUCUGAUAAUACAUUGGAAUACGGUGAAACGUAUUUUAAAAUAUUUAAAAGGAACCUAUAACUAUGGUUUAUUUUUUCAUUCUAGGGUGAAACUUAAGUUACAUGGUUAUAGUGAUGCAGACUAUGCUGGUGAUACAACAACUAGGCGAUCAACAUCAGGAUACAUUUUCAUGAUGACUAAUGGAAUAGUAGCAUGGUGUUCACAAAGGCAAAAAUCAGUAGCACUCUCAACUACUGAGGCUGAAUACAUGGUACUGAAUCAAGCAGUCCAGGAAUUAACUUGGUUGACGCUACUAACAAGUGAUCUUCUGGAAACACAUGACACGGUACCGUAUAUUUUGCGAUACGUUAAAUACACGGUCACCUCGUCUUUUCCAUCAGCCGCCUUAUUACAUCGUGAGCCCAGCCUGAUUAGAGUACCCCCGCUAUCUAGUUAGGGUGCAAAGUCUAUCCACUGAAGCACGGUCGACCACCGAACGCCGGCGGUGAACG